CUCUUUGGCCCUUUCAUCUUCACUUCAAUUUCUACUUUUGUGGUUUGCUUUCAUUUUCAGAUGGUCAUGCUUCUAUUGACUUCCUGCUGCUGUUAAUUCUUUUCUAGGGAGUUGGAAGGUUUCACACAUUUCUUAAGAUUAAAGGAAUUCUGGGUUGUUUAUGGGCGGACAGUGAAUAAAUUUUGAAUUGAAGUUUGUUAAGCAUUGAAGCCAUGGAAGCUGAGAAGAUCUAUUACAGAGGUUUCUGCCACUGAACUUGCUUAUUCACUGGAAAGAACUAUAUUAUGAGUUGGAGCUGGAAGGGUCUGAGAUGGGGAGAAAUUCAUAAACAAGAUGUAUAUUCCAAGCAACAGAGUUCAACAUAAGAUAACUGGGACAAGAUGAAUCUAUUUGAGGAAGGAGAGAAACAGAAGAUGCUUUGCAGGAAAUCAAAAGAAGGAGACAUUCCUUUCUACCUCUGUCAAAGAAACAAUAGCAAUCUAUAAUGUGCUAUAACCGGUUAACCCCUUGCAGGAGAACAUUCAAAUCUUUUCAUCCUCGAUGGUUUCCUCCGUCACAUGUAUUUGAAGUGGAAAAUUCAUUUAGAUGGAUGAAAAUGGCUUUGCGUUAACAUUAGAAGAUAUUAUUAGUUUGAUAAUUCUCCCGUUUUGUGUAAUUGUAACUAAAGUGAUAGAAUACAAGUA